GGGUAUUGUGUUCGUGAAAAUCAGACUGCCGGGCAUAUUCCCUCCUAUUAUCAUGGAUGAAGCACAAACAGGCAAGAAUGUAGCACGAUGGUAGGCCAGCCAGAACCCGCAUCGCUCCUUUUUGUUUAAGAAAAACCCUACGAGCCUCUGGAGAUCCACCCCAUAUAAACUCCCGACUUGUCCAACAUUGGGAUUUUGUCUUUUGAAUUUACCAAGGAAUGUUUUAAAUUAUUUGAAGUCUUGAAUGAAAUGGAGAAUUGUGAAAUAUUAUUGGUAUUAAGUUUAUUAAGUAAUGUGUUUUUUAAUUUUAAUGAUAUAGGACCAAAAUAGGUUAGAGAAAAAUAUUUGUUCUGUGGAUUGCGUUGAGUUAAUCUAUGGUUUGAAAAUUUGUUUACAUAUCUGCAAUAUAACCUAUUAAUUAAAUGUAUUGGAAAAC